rnacentral:lncRNA from 1 species
CUUUUUCAUACAGACUCCGAAUUGGGUGAUUCUUUUUUUGUUGGAAAGUAGAUUUCAUGCUCUUUCCAACCCAAUUGGAAUCACCUUAAAAUCCGUCCGGAGCGUUGAGUUAUGGACGAAACAAUCUGACGCUGCAGCAGAAUCCGAGUCAAACUACAAGUCCAAAGGUGUUACGUCACCUCCACUUGGGCCCAUUGGCCUUGUACAACCUAGGAUUAGUUUUAGGCUGCCCUGGGACGUCCUCCCACCUCCUUGGCCGCCAUCCCUUGCUCCUAUAUAAGUAGAUCCAUCUAGUAGCUUUUCCCUUGGGUUUUGUUUAGAUUAAAAGUUCGCCAUAGCUGCAACUUCGCCUACUUCGUUUGUGUUUAACAACCAGACCAAGACGUCACAAAACCCCACCUUCAUUAAUAAAGCUUUCCUCUUUUAUUCGCAAUAUCCAGAUUGCAAUCUUAGCUUCUUGCUUGUUCUCCAUUUGCUCGCAGGUAAUAGACCCUCGUGGUCAGGUUGAUCGUGCUCUGGCGUGGUCAAUAACCCCUCGGAAGUUGGUUUAGCGAUUGCUAAGGCGCGACGUCUUCGCACGUUCGUAGUCGGAUCGUCAAAGUCGACUCCCACAGAAAACGAUUGCUAUCUCAUGGAAACAUCGGGACACCUCCGCCUCUAUCAAGUGGUAUCAGUUUUCAGAUUGCUCGGUGAGAUUUUCCAGUUAUCCCUAGAUUCGAUUUAUUUUCUUACCUAUUGUCCAAGAAUAAGACACAAAAAAGUUAGAUUUAUUCAUCAUUUGUCCUAGCCAGUUGAAGCCUUUGCAAUUUUCUUUUCAUUGUUUGCAUUAUUGAAUUAUCGGUUGCAUCAUCGUGUCGAGUUGCUGGUCUUAGUGCCUAGUUCCUUUAGAGUUUCGAGUUCUAUUCACAUUAGUCACGCCGCCGCUGUAUCAUUAUCCCUUCCGCUGUCCACCAUCUCAUCCAUCAAUUUCCACCACGUGCUAUGCACUUUUCAUUGUCAUAAUCAUAGUUGUGGUCAUUCACAUCUUCGCCUGAUCCAAUCUGCAUCUUAUCUAGUUUGUCUUGGAAAGAGGGAGAAAAAAAGAUAGAGAAAAAAAGGAAAAAAAGGAAAUAAGAAAAAGAAAAAGAUAGAGAUAGAGAAGAAAAAGAAAAAAAAAGUGUGAGAAAAAAAGAGAGAAAAAAAAUCGGAUCUAUCUAGAAUCAAUCUCGUACCUGAAUUCGGAUUGGAAUCUGUUUUGCGCACUGUUCAUUAAAACAGGUGUAUCUUGCUCAUACGAAGUCCGUUUUGGCUCUGUGAGUACUCAAAUUAAAGGUAGCGACGAGCCGCAUCUAAAUAAUUGCAGAAGCUAGUUCAACACUUGACACCUCAAAAUCGGCUCCUAAAUAGGACUUUUUGCCCUCCGAAGUUCGUGAACAUAGCUUGUUCCAAUUGUUCAGGCCAUCUUUAGAAUUCUUUGACUCCUCAUAUCACUUCGGAAUUGAGUGAUUCUUGUUGCAUUGGAAAGCUUGAGUUAGUAGCAUUCUUUGAAAAAAUUUAUCAGAAAAUUGGCUCAAAUUUUCAAAAGGAAAGUUGGAGAGAGAGUUGUUGUAUAUCCUGCUUGGCAGUUGUUUUUCUUCAUUAUCUUCACUGCCGUUGUGAUCUUCACUUAUAUCCUGCUGUCUAGAGGUACUUAGUAUCCUUCAUUGAUGCUAGUUGUGCUACGCCAUGACCUCAUUAGUGUUCUAGGCUCGCGUCUCUAGUUCGGUCUAGCCUAGGACCAGCACAGUACCGUUGUUGAGCGUUUAUUCAACAUUGCAUCUUUGAAUUGAUUAUUGCUAAAAAAAUUGCUACAAUAUAUAGCCAACCCAGCUCCACAUAUUUCUUCAUCGUGUAUACGUACGUUCCCUUGGCAGUCGCUUUACACAAUCUUCAGAGUUACUUGACACCGCUGGUUGCCUGUCACCACCUGCUACAUGGUAAGAAUUUGUAAGAUAUUGAUAUUUGCUAUACUGUGAGUUUUACCACCACAUCCUAGUAGUUCAUAGGAAUAUUAUUCUCGAAUUUGUUUCUUGUUUCUACAAAUCAUGACAGGUUCCGGAGAUAGAAGUUCUUGGAUGACAGACACAUCUCCACCAUCACGAGAGUUGGGACAACACACACAAGCACAUGGUCAGGUUAUCUUUUUACCGUCAUUUGAGGGUAGAUUUAAUCCUGCUAUUUAUCUUGCUUGGGAGCUUAAAGUUGGACAAGUUUUAGUCACCAUGACUUUUCUGAACUUGAGCGAGUACGAGCUGCCACUAGAGCAUUUACUGGUUUUUCUUCUGUUUGGUGGAGUGUACAUUGUAAGAAAAACAUUGAUAACCAACCCACAAAUUGGAAAGUUUUGAAAGCUGUAAUGAGAAAACAAUUUUUUCCUUCUUACUAUCGUCGUGAAUUGCUUUGCAAAUUGGAACAAUUAAAACAAGGCAGUAACACUGUUCAUGCUUACUACCAAGAGUUCAAAUCUUAUAUGCAUCAUUGUGACAUAGAAGAAUCUGAGAAUGAUACAAUGAAUAGAUUUUUUGGUGGUUUGAACCAUGAUAUCCGUGCAAGAUUUCACUAUAUUCCUCGUUGCAUUAUUGGUAUGUAUGUUCGCGCUUGUACCUUUGAGAGACAAAUAUAGGAGCAUGCACUGUGUGAAUACAACAACUACUAUUCCAGUUCAUGGUCACCACCGCCGGUUGGUUCCUCCAUCGUUGCACCUACUAGAGCAGCCCGACCUCGGAUUGUGAGCGCGACAUCAUCUUAAGAGUAUGGUGCAUUGUCAACGUCCGUACCUACAUCAGCUACGUCUUUACAACAAGGUAACAAUAAAGGUAUUGAUGAUAUAACUUCACAUGAGAAUGAUGCAUCCCUUGUUAACUUGAAUGCAUCAUGUGUUGAGUUACCCGGUGAUUUGAGCACAUCAACUAUUUUAGAGAAUCUUGAUACUGUCAUGAAUGCGUCAUGUGUUCAAACAACUAAAAUACCAACAAUUUUGAGUGCACCCAUUGAAUUAACUGUUGAUGCAAAAGAAUCAAUGUUUAAUCAUUUUGAUAUGACCUCUAAUCUUGGUGAUGAUUCUGUGUCGAAUGACUUAUUGCAUGUUUGCUUAUUUAAGCAUGUUUUAGCAUGUAAAUUUGAUGCAAGUAAGGUUUAUUCAACAAUGUUGGGAUGGUUUAAUGAUGAAUAUUGCCAAUCUUUUGAUAUGAAUAAGAGCUUCACUUUUAUGUGCAAACUAAGUUGCAAUAUUUUCAUGCAUUCUACUUAUGAUAAUAUUUUGGCUUUAUAUUUUAUAAUCUAUGAAGGUUCCUCAUAUAUACAUGUGUCAUAUGUGCAAAAUUCAAGGGAAGUAAAAAUGACAUAUACAUAUACAACAUGUACACCUUGUCUGUUUUGUUAGCCACAUUCAGAUUAAGCAACGCCAAGGACGGCUUUGUUUUCAAGAAGGGGAGGAUGAUGAGGACAUGAAUAACUUGAAUAAGACCAAAAAUAUUGCAUACAUGCAUAUUUGUCAGGUGAUUUCUAGUGUAAACUAUUCAAUAAUCAAUUUAUGUUAUCCAGAACAAAAAUACUUCACACACUUUUGUGUUUUGUCUAAUUGCAGGUGUAUGGGACAUUUGUACAAUCCACAUAUGAAGAUAAGGGAAAAGGAUAAGUUUAGGUUCUGUUCAAAAAGUCCUCUCACGUCACUUUUGGGCCAAGAGAAGAUAGAGUCCAAGUAUCUCACGUUCUGGAUUCAGAUUCGGACUGCACAGACAUACCUGACUCUAAACGCCAACAACUUUUUCAUACAAACUCCAAAUUGGGUGAUUCUUUUUUGUUGGAAAGUAGAUUUCAUGCUCUUUCCAACCCAAUUGGAAUCACCUUCAAAUCCAUCCGGAGCACUAAGUGAUGGACGAAACAAUAUGACGCUACACGAGAAUCCGAGUCAAACUACAAGUCCAAAGGUGUUACGUCACCUCCACUUGGGCCCGUUGGCCUUGUACGACCUAGGGUUAGUUUUAGGCUGCCUUGGGACGUCCUCCCACCUCCUUGGCCG